GACGAACGCUGGCGGCGUGCUUAACACAUGCAAGUCGAACGGAAAGGCCCUGCUUUUGUGGGGUGCUCGAGUGGCGAACGGGUGAGUAACACGUGAGUAACCUGCCCUUGACUUUGGGAUAACUUCAGGAGACUGGGGCUAAUACCGGAUAGGAGCUCCUGCUGCAUGGUGGGGGUUGGAAAGUUUCGGCGGUUGGGGAUGGACUCGCGGCUUAUCAGCUUGUUGGUGGGGUAGUGGCUUACCAAGGCUUUGACGGGUAGCCGGCCUGAGAGGGUGACCGGCCACAUUGGGACUGAGAUACGGCCUAGACUCCUACGGGAGGCAGCAGUGGGGAAUAUUGCACAAUGGGCGGAAGCCUGAUGCAGCAACGCCGCGUGCGGGAUGACGGCCUUCGGGUUGUAAACCGCUUUCGCCUGUGACGAAGCGUGAGUGACGGUAAUGGGUAAAGAAGCACCGGCUAACUACGUG
rnacentral:rRNA from 1 species